AGUUUGAUCCUGGCUCAGAUUGAACGCUGGCGGCAUGCCUUACACAUGCAAGUCGAACGGCAGCGGGCCUUCGGGUGCCGGCGAGUGGCGAACGGGUGAGUAAUGCAUCGGAACGUGCCAUUGAGUGGGGGAUAACGUAGCGAAAGUUGCGCUAAUACCGCAUAUUCUGUGAGCAGGAAAGCAGGGGACCGCAAGGCCUUGCGCUCUUUGAGCGGCCGAUGUCAGAUUAGCUAGUUGGUGAGGUAAAGGCUUACCAAGGCGACGAUCUGUAGCGGGGUCUGAGAGGAUGAUCCGCCACACUGGAACUGAGACACGGUCCAGACUCCUACGGGAGGCAGCAGUGGGGAAUUUUGGACAAUGGGGGCAACCCUGAUCCAGCCAUGCCGCGUGAGUGAAGAAGGCCUUCGGGUUGUAAAGCUCUUUCGGCCGGGAAGAAAUCGCAUGGGUGAAUACCCUGUGUGGAUGACGGUACCGGAACAAGAAGCACCGGCUAACUACGUG
rnacentral:rRNA from 1 species